UGUCAGACAAGCCAGCUUUCUGCUUUUUUGUGGUUGUGAGCUCAUACCUCCUAAAGACAGUUUGGAGUUCGAGUCCCUAUCAUUCCACUCCAUGGUACCUUCUAUGGGGGAAUGUGAAGCAGUACCAUAGCCGCCCUGCUCUUUGGGGGUGCAGUAAAAGUGUCCGUUUGCUCUUCAUGUGAGUUUGGUGCUGAUUCCGUAAUGUCAGUUUCAGUUGAAACUGUUGAGAUUGUUGACUUUUCUUAUAUUGCAGCUGCAAAUGACUUUUCGAAAAUGAACGGAGAUGCUUUCUUUCUCGCUUCUGGCGCACACAACAAGGCGAACCACGACAAGCAUCAGCCGCAUGUGCGAAUUUAUUACAUCUGAUGCAGCGAAGUGGAUUUGGAAUGUACGGCCUAACGUCUGCUGAGAGGUUCGAUCCAUAAAGAUUCCUUGAAGUCGCCCACACUUCAUGCCCCCAUGCUAGGGUUGAUCAAAAAGUUCCCGGACGAGCCCUAUAAAAAAUGCAACCAGAUCAUCUAUGCAAAUUUCUGCUCCUUCAAAGUAGUCUCCUUGGGCACCUACACAUCACUCCCAGCGCCGCUGCCAUUGUCGGAACGCUUCCUAUAAGUCUUGUUCUUCCAGCUGCUGAAGCACCUUCUGCGAUUCCACCUGGAUCGUCUGGACGUCGUCAAAUCGGCGGCCCUUUAGCUGCGACAUCGGCUUAGGGAAUAGAAAGAAGUCGCAGGGGGCCAAGUCCGGCGAAUACAGG